UGGGGUUUCGGCUGCCCAGGGGUAGGGGCACCGACCCACUUCUCAAAGAAAUUACGUCCGUGCCAUUGCUCUUAAUGGAAAAUAAAAAAAAAUGACUUUGGGCUCCCGGUAUCGACACGUCAAUUCUCUCUCCUCAACCUCUUAAUUUUCUUUCAUCAGUUUAACCAAAACAAACUUUCCUACUUUCUCUCUGUUCAUCUUCAUCGUCAUUGUAAUUUCCGCCACUAUUAUCAUCUUCGUCGUCGCCGGAGAUCGAGUCCAGUUCAUUGAUGCUGCUCACUUGGUUUUAAACAAUAUUGUAUCGAUAACUUGGGUAAGAGUAUAGGAAACUUGAAAGCAUACCUUUACAAAGUAAGAACGACUACCAAAAGUAUUAACUUUGAGAUUAUUCACAAAGCGACGUGUAUAGCGGAAGACUUCAUUUUAGCUGAAUGAGUAUCUAUAUAUUAUAUCCAACUCAUUUUUUUAGUCAUUCAACUAAGUCCUUGAUAGAUGUUAUUAUCUUCAUAUGGCUUGAAGUUAUCGUUACCCGAUCCAGAUGCAGCUGAAGAUUCUUGUGGUUCAAUAAAGUUAUUAAAGAUGUAUGUGAUUGUUUUUAUACGGCCUACCUUAUCGUUAUUUUCUCUUGUUUGUAUUGAAAUAUUGAACUCAAGAUAAUUUUAUCGAACACUAUGAGAUAAGAUUUAGCUACAUUAAAGCAAUUAUAUUUAUUUCAAAAAAUAAUUUCAACAAA